rnacentral:rRNA from 1 species
CACUUUAAGCGGUGGAUCACUCGGCUCGUGUGACGAGGAAGAGCAAAGCCAACUUUGUGUUGUAAUGUGAAUUGCAGAACUCUUUGAUCAUCGACCUCUCGAACGCAUCUUGCGGUCUCAGGAUUUAUCUUGAGGCCACGUUUGUCCGAGCUUCGGCACUUUCUAUCAUCACGUUCCCAAGUGAUGGAUUGAGAG